GCCGCUGGCACAGGGAGCCGCGGCGGUCAGCUGUUGUCCCGCAGGGCAGGGAGUGUCCCGGCGGAGGAGGGCGGUGCUCUGAGCGGGACGCGGCCGGCGGGGCUCCGUCAGCUGACGCGGAGCUCCGCCGCGGCGCAGACAUCUUGGCACCGAACGGAGGAGACGGAGGGUCCGGUCCUCACGGUCUAACGCCCCGAUGGAUCGACGGCAGGGCUCGCGGGUACGGGAGGAGUCCUCGCCGAGAGCCAGCGGCCUGUCCGCGGGGCCGGGGAGCACCGGGAGCGGUCCGCGCUCUGCCCCUGUGUCUCUCCGUUAUGAUUGGCUCUGACUGACAGUGUCAGCUCCUCAUCCACGACUGCGGUGUUGAUCUCCAGAGGUUGUUGCCAUGACAGCAGGAAGGGGCGUGUCCCACGGCGCCGCUGUGCUGCUGCUGCGGCUCUGUGGUUUUUUUAGGUUUUGAUUUUUGUAGCGUUGGACGAGAAAAUCAAAACCUAAAGAAAAUACAGCGCUGACAGAACUUCCUGCAGGGGGUGCCGAGCACCAGGCUGCUGGACAUGAGGAGGUCUGGACACUUCCUGUGACCUUCAUCAAGUUUCAGGUGUUGUGGCUCCUUGUGACAGUCUUGGAGGCAUCACUGGCCUUCGGCGAUCACGCCACAGCUGAAUCUUUGAGGCUGAUGUGUGCUGAUGUGAUCGCUGUCAGAGCGUUUGGAUCUUUCUCAGUAAAGCAGUGAAAAUAAACUUU